GGAGACAGGCCACUCACGAAAAGCUUAAUAAAAAAAAUAUCUCAUUGCCCAGGUUCAUGGGCAGGAUAUUGUCAUGUUGUUCUGCUCUGUUGAACAUAGUUAACUCCAAGAGUACAGAGUUUCUCACAAAAGCAAUUAGGUGCCCUGUCAUUCACAUAUGUCUUGAAGUCAAAUCCAAGAGAGAAAAGUAAAGCGAGAAGCUCAGAAGAUAUAAUAGCAGAAUGCUUCAAUGAGAUAGAGUAAAUGUGCUCUUUCAUCCACCUGGGACACAAGGAACAGUGCAGACAGCUCUUUCUCACUCACAGCAAUGCCAUAAGCUUUCACUUUGGGAAACUGCAAAGAAUGUCCUGCAGUCAGCAUCACUGUGAAGCAGUCUGGGAAGAGUGUCCUGCAGUCACCAUCACUGUGAAGCAGUCUGGAAAGAGUGUCCUACGGUCAGCAUCACGGUGAAGCAGUAUGGGAAGAGUGUCCUGCAGUCAGCAUCAUGCUGAAGCAGUCUGGGAAGAGUGUCCUGCAGUCAGCAACAUGAUGAAGCAGUUUGGGAAGAGUGUCCUGCAGUCAAAAUCACAGUCUGCACUGGUGGGCUGCUUUGGGAGUUUGGUGAGGAGGGAACAAGGUGAUCCUUUGAGUACCAUGAAAAUGGUCAGAACCAUAGAAAAGUUACAGCACAGAAGCAAGCCAUUCAGCCCAUCUUGUCCAUGCCAGCCCGAGGACACCCAGGUGCCCUUUCUAAUCCCACCUUCCUGCACCCAGCCCAUAGCUGUCAACCAAUCCCUUGAUUUUCCACUAUUGCUUCCACAUAUAUGUGAUUAUUAUUAUUAUUUUGUUUUAACUGGAACAUUUGUUCUCAGUUGUAAACAUUGGCCCUGUAUUAAACAAAAAGGAUUUCAACACUGUUCUUCUCUAGUUAUAACUGAUUACACUUUUGACAAUCUUUGUUCCAGAACCUGUGUGAUUUCAUUGUUGUUAGUCCUAUCAAAAUCUAAAUUUUACUGUUAUG